ACUGGAUAACUGAAUUCUAGAAUUCAAGCCUGAUGUCAUAGUUCCAUGAGAAUUUUAUGAGAAGGAAAAGGAUGUUGUACAUGGGCAGAAAGGUGAAAAUUGUGGCCAGAGGCAGAUUGUGGUAAAUUACAAAAUUGGCUCAUAAUCCUUUAUUCCUUCUUGCCUCCAUGCUCUUUGCAAUGUGACUUUGCCACUUUUCUCAUUAAGAGAUGGAUUCUGUUCUCCAUUGCCUUCUGUCUGGACUGGUCUUGUAACUUGUUCUGGUUAAUACAGAGGUAAAUGUGAUGACACAUCAGAAGCCCAGGCCUCAAGCAAGCUUUCCCACUUGUUCUCUUGGAACCCUUCCCAGCUAUCAGACACUACUGGCAAAGACAUUGAAAAGAAUCACACUGCUAAACCAGUAGCAGCUUUUAUCUUCUUCUCAGAUUGUAUACAUGCAGGAUAAAAGUGUUUCUAACACAUAGACUUCUAUAUUCCAGCAUAAAGAUGUAUUAGGCGCAUUUAUACUUUUACAUCGAAGCCUGUUUCAACAUGAACGGAGCCCAGGGAAGUUGGUGACUUAAUCCUCGUUAUACCCUGAUUUUGGACAAAUUUUACAAGAAGAAUAGGACUUCUACUUCUCUAUGUCUACAUGCACCUGGAACAGUGCUAGGUCUAUGCUUACAAAUUGAUUGGUUCAGGUCACCGCCAUGAGCCUCAGGACAGAAAAUUGCCGGAUAUGAGAGAGAGAGAGAGAUUUGACUGGGCUAAGAAAGAAAUGAACACGAUUUAGAGAUGGAAAUGGUGACAUAUGGGCCUUUGAAGCCUCCCAUGUUCCAGAGAAGGUGAGGUUUCACCAUGUUAGUCAGGAUGGUCUCGAUCUCCUGACCUCGUGACCUGCCCAGCUCGGCCUCCCAAAGUGCUGGGAUUACAGGCAUGAGCCAUUGCGCCUAACCUCAGAAACCAUUUUUAUAACCUCAAUACCUAAUAGAAACUGGCACAUGGACUGUGUGCGAAAUGUUCAAACUUGCUCACUGGGUUAAAAAGGAUGGACAGCUUAGAGAAAAAGAAGAAAAAAAGGAAACUCGGCUGUGCGCAGUGACUCAUGCCUAUAAUGCCAGCACUUUGGGAGGCCAAGCCCCUGUGAGCUGUGACUGCAAGAGUCAGCACCUAAAUUAGAUCAACACUACAACAUCAAAAAGCCAGCUUGAUGGCACAGCGGGGAGUGAGGAAGACUCGGUGGACAAAUCUGACUGGAAAACAAGUAGGCGUUGCAGAUGAAGACCUGGAACCAUGGUAGGAAGUGGGACAGGGAGCAUUUGGACAAGCUGUUCAAGAACUGAUCAUGCUCAUGUGUAUGGGAAAACAGAUGGAGGAAGAGAAAUUCCUGAAGAGCACAAGACUGGUGGGGCAAGGAACAAGCCUACUGAGAUGAGUUGCAGAUUUGAAGAUGGGAGAAAUGGUUUCGUUGUCUACCAUGUAAAAACUCAUUUAUGCAAGAUGCUUGAUAUCUGAAUUUCAAUUUCUUCAUUAUCAAAAUGAAUAUUAAAAAUACUCUACUUCUUAGAGUUGUCAAAAA
rnacentral:lncRNA from 1 species